rnacentral:rRNA from 1 species
UACGUAGGGUGCAAGCGUUGUCCGGAAUUAUUGGGCGUAAAGGGCUCGUAGGCGGUUUGUCACGUCGGGAGUGAAAACUCAGGGCUCAACCCUGAGCGUGCUUCCGAUACGGGCAGACUAGAGGUAUGCAGGGGAGAACGGAAUUCCUGGUGUAGCGGUGGAAUGCGCAGAUAUCAGGAGGAACACCGGUGGCGAAGGCGGUUCUCUGGGCAUUACCUGACGCUGAGGAGCGAAAGCAUGGGGAGCGAACAGG